CCAUAGCUGCUGGCUGUACAAACAGUUCCUCUUUGCAAAUGAACUUCAUUAGAACCCAUAACUGAUACAAACUGUGUUGGAGUGGUUCAAGGAUUAGCAAGAAGCCUGCAUGGUUGGAAAAGGUAGCAAAGAGGAGAGCAGUGGGAGAUUGUGUGGUGGGAGGCUGUAUUGUGAAAGGCCUUGUGGGCCAUUAAAGAACUAGGCUUUUAUUUGUAAUGUGAUAUAGAGCUUCAAAGAAGGUUUUAGACAAAGAACUGGUAAAUGUACUUUGGCUUUUAGUAAAGAGGUCUUGGAUUUUAGAAUGAUAAAUCUUUAUAAGAUUAAAUAUAGAAGCCUUUUAGGAGUGCCUACUAUAGGGAAGGUACUUGGCACAUAAUAAGG
rnacentral:lncRNA from 10 species